UACGGAGGGUGCUAGCGUUGUUCGGAAUUACUGGGCGUAAAGCGUGCGCAGGCGGUCUUGCAAGACAGGUGUGAAAUCCCCGGGCUUAACCUGGGAACUGCACUUGUGACUGCAAGGCUGGAGUACGGCAGAGGGGGAUGGAAUUCCGCGUGUAGCAGUGAAAUGCGUAGAUAUGCGGAGGAACACCGAUGGCGAAGGCAAUCCCCUGGGCCUGUACUGACGCUCAUGCACGAAAGCGUGGGGAGCAAACAGG
rnacentral:rRNA from 1 species